rnacentral:ncRNA from 2 species
AUUACAGAGUUGCAAAACUCCCUAAACCAUUGUGAACGUUACCUUUACCGUUGCUUCGGCGGGCGGCCCGGGUCCUGCCCGGCGCCCCUCGGCCCCUCGCGGGGCGCCCGCCGGAGGUAAACCAAACCAUUGCAUUGUAUGGCCUCUCUGAGUCUUCUGUACUGAAUAAGUCAAAACUUUCAACAACGGAUCUCUUGGUUCUGGCAUCGAUGAAGAACGCAGCGAAAUGCGAUAAGUAAUGUGAAUUGCAGAAUUCAGUGAAUCAUCGAAUCUUUGAACGCACAUUGCGCCCGCCAGUAUUCUGGCGGGCAUGCCUGUUCGAGCGUCAUUUCAACCAUCAAGCCCCCGGGCUUGUGUUGGGGACCUGCGGCUGCCGCAGGCCCUGAAAACCAGUGGCGGGCUCGCUAGUCACUCCGAGCGUAGUAGUUACAUCUCGCUCAGGGCGUGCUGCGGGUUCCGGCCGUUAAAAGCCUUUUACCCCAAGGUUGACCUCGGAUCAGGUAGGAAGACCCGCUGAACUUAAGCAUAUCAAUAAGCGGAGGAAAAGAAACCAACAGGGAUUGCCCUAGUAACGGCGAGUGAAGCGGCAACAGCUCAAAUUUGAAAUCUGGCUUCGGCCCGAGUUGUAAUUUGCAGAGGAAGCUUUGUGCGCGGCACCAACUGAGUCCCCUGGAACGGGGCGCCACAGAGGGUGAGAGCCCCGUAUAGUUGGACGCCUAGCACGUGUAAAGCUCCUUCGACGAGUCGAGUAGUUUGGGAAUGCUGCUCAAAAUGGGAGGUAAAUUUCUUCUAAAGCUAAAUACCGGCCAGAGACCGAUAGCGCACAAGUAGAGUGAUCGAAAGAUGAAAAGCACUUUGAAAAGAGGGUUAAAUAGCACGUGAAAUUGUUGAAAGGGAAGCGCUUGUGACCAGACUUGCGCCCGGCGGAUCAUCCGGUGUUCUCACCGGUGCACUCCGCCGGGCGCAGGCCAGCAUCGGUUCUCGCGGGGGGACAAAGGUCCCGGGAACGUAGCUCCUCCGGGAGUGUUAUAGCCCGGGGCGUCAUGCCCUCAGCGGGGACCGAGGACCGCGCAUCUGCAAGGAUG